GAUAAACGCUGGCGGCGUGCCUAACACAUGCAAGUCGAACGAUCCCGCAAGGGAGAGUGGCGGAAGGGUGAGUAACACGUGGGAAUCUACCUCCUCGCAGGGAACAACCUCUCGAAAGAGAGGCUAAUACCCAAAAGGGUCAGAAAUGAUCAGAGUCGAAAGGCGUGAGGAGAGGAGCCCGCGGCCCAUCAGCUAGUUGGUGAGGUAAUGGCUUACCAAGGCUACGACGGGUAGGGGAUCUGAGAGGAUGUCCCCCACACUGGAACUGAAACACGGUCCAGACGCCUACGGGUGGCAGCAGUGAGGAAUAUUGGACAAUGGGCGAAAGCCCGAUCCAGCAACGCCGCGUGGAGGAU
rnacentral:rRNA from 1 species